ACGGAGGAUGCGAGCGUUAUCCGGAAUUAUUGGGUUUAAAGGGUGCGCAGGCGGAUCAAUAAGUCAGUGGUGAAAUUCCAUAGCUUAACUAUGGAACUGCCAUGGAUACUGUUGGACUUGAGUAUGGAUGAGGUAGGCGGAAUGCGACGUGUAGCGGUGAAAUGCGUAGAUAUUGGGAGGAACACCGGUUGCGAAGGCGCCUUACUAGACCGUAUCUGACGCUGAGAUGCGAAAGCGUGGGUAUCAAACGG
rnacentral:rRNA from 1 species